CUCAGCUUUCGGCGCCAGCGCGCGCGCGCACGACCCGGGAGCGGCCGCCGAGACCCGUGAGGGCAAACCAGUCGUCGGGAUGGGACUUCGGCGGGUAGGUACAGGCAGAGCCGCACACCUUUGGGCCCCCCUCAGGCUCCGCGGAAACGCGAGGGAGGCGGCUUUCGGAGAAGCCGGCAUAGUGGGGACGGCGGCGGCCGACUCUCCUCCUCCACCUCCUCCUCCUCCUGGGCUGCUCUUCGUCAGGCCGGCCAGGGAGCGGCGCUGCUUCCCCGCGGGCGAGGCGGCCGCGCCAGGCGCACGCUCUGCCCGAACCCUCCUUCCCUGAGAGCCUGAGCAGCCGCCGCCGGGACUGAGGCCGCCGCCGCCGCCGCGGUGGGGGGAGGGAAGGCGAGCGAGUCGCCGAGGCAGGGCGCCGGCCGUCGUCGUCGUCUUCGGAGCGAGAGCGGCAGCCCCUUCCCGCGCCUCCCUCCACGGCUCCAGCCGCCCACGGAGGCCGCUCGAUGCUGCACCUUCCGGAGCUGCAUGAGGUAAAAAAAAAGGCGGGCGGGCGGGCGAGUGAGAGAGCGAGGCAGCCGCCCCUGGGGUCCGGGUCUCUUGUUGCUGCCGCUGCUGCCGCUUGCUCGCCGCCUUCCUCCCCGGCUCUCCCCGCCGGCGUGGCGGGUUUCGACCAGCCGGGAAGACCCUCUGGGCCGGAGCCGGGCGUUUACACGAGGCGAGGGGCUGCAGGAGGGGUCCUGAGGUGGAAGUUGAGAGAAGUGGAUGGAGAGUGGCCUGCGCCCUCCCCUGAGGGAAGCGGCGCCGUCCCUGCGGCGGGGCGGCCCGGCCCGGCUGGGUUGGGGAAGAGUUUUAAUCUUGGGCUGGGCGGGGGUUAUAGGGGGUGGCCGGCUGGGGCUACGUUGUUUUCGGGGUCCCCCCUCCGCCUGACUCCCUUUCCUCCCCUCCUCCGGUCGGCUUCCCUGUCUCCUGAUAGUUUUGAGGCCUAACAGUUUAGGCCUUGCCUCCUGGCUUCGGUGGAAGAAGUGCCUGUCUCGGGAUCGGCUCUAUUUCUCUCUCCUCUCCGCAGACCCGUUUCUCGCCCGGGCGCGGAGAGGCGAUCUUUCAAUCUUUUCUUUAUUUUUUUGUUUUUUUUUUAAAUGUUAACAUUUCAUUGUGAACCGCGAGGCAGCCAAAGUAAUCGUGUUGGGCUUCGGAGCAGCCGCCCAAUGAAAGGUGUCGGGAGGGAGAGCGCUGGGCUGGACGUAGCGUGGGGAUCCGGGGAGACCACGGUCCUGCGGACUUUAAGCCCUGGGCCUCGCCGCUGCGAAACACAGGGGCCUUCUUUUGAAUCGAGGUUUAGAAAUGGGGGAGGGAAGGGGAAAAAAGGUUCGGAAAGUCGCCUCUAUUCCGCUGAACUUUUGUUUUCUGACCGAUAGGGGCCGGUAGAGGACUGUGGAGAAGGAAACUUUAUAACCAGCAGCACUAGGAUGGAUUUCCCAUCCACCCAACCAAAGCCUCCUGCCGACGGCAAAAUCAUCUUCUACCCUCCUGGAGUUAAGGAGAUCACAGAUAAAAUAACGAACGAUGAAGUAGUCAAACGUUUGAAG